rnacentral:tRNA from 1 species
GGGGAUUUAGCUCAGUGGUAGAGCGCUUGCCUAGCAAACCGCAAGGCCCUGGGUUCAGUCCCCA